UAAAUCUUUAUUUUAUAAAUUUAAAUAUAAUAUUUUACAUAUAAGAAUUUCUUUCUUUUUUAAAAAUAAAUUUAUUUUUUUUUUAGAGUUUAUAUAUUUGUUAAAUUUUUUAUUAAUUGAGCAGUAGUUAUAUAAAGAUUAGCAAAUUUUGUGCCAGCAGCUGCGGUUAUACUAGUAAUCUUGAUUUUUUAGAAGUUGUUUUGUAAGUAAGCCAGUUUGGUCAGGAUUACUAAGGUGAAAUUUGGGUUUGGGUUUACUUUUAUUUUUUAUUUAUACAAAUAAAUUAAAAACUAGGAUUAGAUACCCUACUAUUAGUUGUUUUUAGUGAGAAGUAAAGUUAAAAUUAAAGGAUAUGGCGGCUUUUUCUUAUUAGAGGAGGUUGUAGCUGUUGAUUGAUGCGACACAUUAUUGUUUUACUUAUUUUACAGUUAUGUAUACCGUCAUUUAAAUAAUCUUAUAGGGGGAAAUUUUUAUAGCUUUGUUAAAAAAGUUAGAUCAAGGUGCAGAUAUUAAUAAGAGGCUAUUAUUUACAUUAUAUAGUUAUACACGGAUAUUUGUUAAAGAUAGAUUGAAGGUGAAUUUAGUUGUAAUAUUUUAUAAAUGAAUACAAAGGAAGAGUGUACAAAUUGCCCGUCGUUCUCUUUGAGAUAAGUCGAAACAAAGUAGGGUUACCUGAAGGUGGCUCUAA
rnacentral:ncRNA from 1 species